GAUGGAUGCCCCAUUCCUGGAGGCAUUCAAGGUCAGGCUGGAUGGGGCUCUGAGCAACCUGAUCUAGCUCUAGGUGUCCCUGCUUAUUGGAGGGGAGUUGGACCAGAUGACAUUUAAGGGUCCCUUCUUCUUGCCUUUAUCUUCCCAUCUAAACGUUGAGUGACUGGUGUAAGCAUUUUGUUUAUCCGUCCUUUAUAGUCUGGAAAAUAGAGUGAUGCUAGGAGGGAGACCACCCAUGCUAAAAUAGGCAUUUACCUUCAGGAAGCAUUUUCCUCCCUCUGCUGACUCCAGCAGGAGGCCAGUCAGCUAACAAUAACAUCUGACUUUUUCAUAGCUAACAAUAGCUGAGAGGAAGGCUUUCUAAAUUGUGCACACCAGCAUGCUCGCACCUUUUACAGCCAAAGAGCAAAUGGCAAAGGUAAUACAUAACUAAUCCAAAUUUUCUAUAUACACACAAUAUUAUUUCUAUUACUCAAAGUAUGCCUAUAAAACUGAAAUAUGUACUGAUCAGCAAUAAAAUUCGCCUAGCUAGUAGACCUUACUUAGCUUAUGGCAUACACAGUGACAGGCAUGUCACGUGCCAGCAUCUUGCUCUGGUUGCUUCCCACUCUGACAAUCACAGAGCUGCCUUCUAACAAGUCUUCCCAGCAGUGACAGGCUUGCCACACGCAUCAAAGGCUUUUCAGGAACAGAGAGGCUUCAGAUGAUUGGUAUAAGAAUCCAGGCAUUAACGAUUAUCUGAUUAUGAUUUUGGAAAAAUAAGAUAUCUCCUGUCUACAUAUGUGGAGUGAUGUUUCUAAUGAAAAGCAACAAUGGAGUCAUUUUGAUCUCUGAUGGGUGAAACUCAUUGGAAUGGAAACCAACAUCUAUGCAACAAACCAAGGCUCACCAUGUCUUACAUCUGCCAAGUGCCUGGGGACUCCAAAGGGAGCAAAGUAUGAAGAAUACCAAAGAAACACAGAAGAACAGAAAAGUCCAUCUGAAUUUCAGGAUGUUUUACUGGAACCUGAGUUGAGUUUGCUGUCUGUGUCAUCCAUAUUAGACCACAGUGAGACAUCCUUGCAACCUGAUGGGACUGAAGGGUGUGUUAGUGCCACCAAUCAAUCUGAAGCACAGCGGCUCUCUGAAGAAUUAUUGUGUUCAGCAAGGCACAAGCCAAAGGAAGACAAUCUGAACUUCACCUCACACACAGAAUGGCCAUUCCUUGCAGGAAAAAAUCCAGCCAACAAACCAGAAAGGAGUCAUGAGAUCAGAGUCAUAAGACACAAGCCAAGUGCUAUCACAUUUUCUGAUUUUGAAUUUUUAUCACAUGAAGCGAAUACUAAACUCCAUAUUUAUGAGGCAGGAGAAGAAGACUUUUCAUCUGAAGAGGAAGAAGCAGAUGGCAGAGGUGAUGAUGAUCUGCUUACAGAACUGCCUCUGUAUGAGGCAUUUUUCAAUGGCUUUCAUAGAACGGAUGUUUUCCCAAGAAAUCAAGCUAAAUGUGAACCUACUGAGUAUCCACACAUGUGUCAUUUAGAAGACUGUAGUGACCAUUCCAGAACGGAAUCGAAGGACCAUGACAAGGAAGGAAAAUACAUGGAGCUGGAGACUCAAUCAGAAAAAAGAUUGGAAUGGUCAGACUCCAUGUCAUGCCUUAUGAAGAAACUGGAACAGCUGAAUUUAGAUAUUGAAGAAGCUCUGAGUGCUAGCUCAUCUCCCUCCAGUACUCCUUCUACCACAAGGCACAAACAACUGUGCCCUGCUCGAGUGGAGACAAGCCCUUAUGGAGAUCUUCAAGGAAAAGGAUCGUGGAAGCACAGAACUGCAGACCACCGGGAUCUAGAUUGUUUAUCUUACCCAGUAUCAACUGGAGCACGACCUAAACCUUAUCAGAAUAAGCCUGUGAUAAAUCACUUCCUCAGAAGUGAAAGUGAGAUUUCUGAAAUGGAAGUACAUUGUAUCAACCAGACCACCCAUAUCUGCAUGAUCACUGGAAGAACAUGUCUGGAUUCCUGGGCUGUGACCUCCAAAAGCCAUACUAACAAUUCCCCAUCACGCAGUGUUACUAUGUGUGUGUUUGUUCUGCUCUUUAGCAUAUUUUCUGGUACUUUUCUGCCAUGAAUAUCAGUCCUCUUCGCAUCACUUCCACAAACAUCUUCAGAGACAUUGUCAAAUAUUGGCAUGUGUGUGCCACCGUCCAUUCCUCUGAUCUCAAAGCCAAUAGCAUGUAGCAAUAAUUACACAUUGAAUUAAUAGCUCAACAGUUCUAUUUCUCCUGAUGAGGUGCUUGCUUCAAGUUAUCUUCUCAUUUUGGAUUAAAGCAAGAUCUAUUAUAUUAGAGACAUCUUUAGAACGGUCAUAUUGUUCACCUACUAAAAAAUGAUAUACCUACCACCAUGCAAAUGAUGUAUUUCAUUAAAUGAGCC
ensembl:lncRNA